CAACCCACAAUAAAUAAUCAUAUUUAAUUUCCACCAACCAACAAUAACCCAAUUACCCAUUCCCGUUAUUCUCACUUUAUGUCCCUAAAACAACUAACACAAGGGACCUAGUCUAAGAAUAUUUCAUUGGGGCGACAACACAUGCUUCGGGGGUACCUCAGCAAUAUAAGUCAAAUAAGGCAACCAUGAGGGGGAUGGAGUACAGCGAAUGAACACCCAAGUUCAUUAACACCUACAGGUGGCGAACCUGCUAAUGUUUCCACAAGACUGUCUAGAAUAGCCAGUGGUCGUCAUCUAAACUCCGCUAGAUGACUCAAUCAAACAACAACGAGGCCUCUCAUCUGUUUAUUACACACCAACUAUCUACCCAUGUUCUACCCAACAUAUUAGUAGAUAAAAAUAUACAUUUUUAUACAUAGUUUAAAAACCUGUAUAGCAUGCUUUAAUCAACACAUAAUCCACAUAACAUGAUAAGUUAAAAUUAACUUGAAGAUCGAUUAGAUCUUAAACAGGUAAAGAAAUAAAAACGUAAACAGCAAGAACACUUGAAUGAAUCAAAAGUGUCGAAUGAUUUAUAAACAAUCCUCAGAAGAGCUCGAUAAAGAACAUCAACUGUAGAGGACUAAAAGGUUUACAAGAACGAUAAAGAAAUCUGCAAAGCUAUCGUAAUUCUAUAAAUUGUAUUCUAGAUCGUUAACCUAAUAUGCAUGCAAGCAUAUUAUUAUAUAGUAAACCCUACAAGCUCACGGUUGGAUAGGCCCAAACCGCAGUGCAAAACUGGACUAUAAACCGAGCCCAAUGACGCAAUACAAAAUAAUUCCUACGCUACCCAACAUAACAGAUGAGGCACACACACACAUAACACAUAUCUCAUAGAGAAUAAAUCAUAUCUAUGAGAUAGAAGAGAGUGAAUAUACAUUCACACAUAUAACAACAAAACAUAUACACAUAGCACGUAUUUUAUAUAAAAUACUUUAUAAUAAUGUGAUGGA
rnacentral:lncRNA from 1 species